rnacentral:lncRNA from 1 species
AAAGUUAUAAUUUGAAUUUGGCUCAUUGUUUUCACAUGGCAACACUUGCAUUAGCUUCAAAAUAGCAUUUUCAAGUGAAUUAAAACAGAAUUCGUGCACUGUUCCAUUGGUUUUGCAUACAUGAGGUGCAUUGGCCAAUUUGCAUUUACACUCUCUUUUCACUAAUCCAUUGGCAAUUGGUUAAGCAUGAUUAGCAAACAUGAUUAAGAGCUUAUAUAUAAGCCUAAGCAUAACAGAAAACUGCAUUAACAACAUCACAAUUUCCAGAUCUGAAAAAUUUC